rnacentral:rRNA from 1 species
GACGAACGCUGGCGGCGUGCCUAAUACAUGCAAGUAGAACGCUGAAGGAGGAGCUUGCUUCUCCGGAUGAGUUGCGAACGGGUGAGUAACGCGUAGGUAACCUGCCUGGUAGCGGGGGAGAACUAUUGGAAACGAUAGCUAAUACCGCAUAACAGUAGAUAUUGCAUGAUAUCUGCUUGAAAGGUGCAAUUGCAUCACUAACAGAUGGACCUGCGUUGUCUUAGCUAGUUGGUGAGGUAACGGCUCACCAAGGCGACGAUACAUAGCCGACCCGAGAGGGUGAUCGGCCGCGCUGGGACUGAGACGCGGCCCAGAACUCUACGGGAGGCAGCAGUAGGGAAUCUUCGGCAAUGGACGGAAGUCUGACCGAGCAACGCCGCGGGAGUGAAGAAGGGUUUCGGAUCGUAAAGCUCGGUUGUAAGAGAAGAGCGAGUGUGAUAGUGGAAAGUUCACACUGUGACGGUAGCUGACCAGAAAGCGACGGCUAACUACGUG